GGUCUGGUGGUGUAGCGGUUACACAUCCUCAUACAUUAGCUAGGUAAUUUAUGUUCUGAGGAAGUCCUUCGUUUGACUCGGGGUCAGACCA